CCCAAAAAUCGAAACUCGAAAAAUGGACUGAGUGAGUCCAACACCUGGUUUAUAUCCUUCAUGCAAUCUGCAACAUAAAGACGAAGAAAUAUGCUUAUCCGAAGAAGCUUCCAUAACGCGCACCCUCGCUUCUACUCUUCGUAUCGGCGCACCCUCACAUCAUCGUCGCGUUCGCGUCUUUUUUAUCCAAAUAAGGAGAUAGAAUCCAGCGACACGUUCGUCCUCGCGACUCUGUGUUAGGAACCAACGUGUCCUCCAUGCCAAGUGCGAACUCGGAUGGAAGCGGAAACAGGGCGAAGAACGCCGUCUCCGGAAUCGCUUUGGACGUCCAUCAUUCGCCCUCCUUCGUGAGCGCCGUUGUCGCCUUCUACUCAAUCGAGACAUGAAGGAGGCGGAUCCCAUGAUACGAUCUCUCGCUUUCAUCCAUCUCUCGCGGCGGUUCAAAGAUUCGAACGCAUCGCCAUGCAUAAGUCGUUCCAUUACUACACGUGCAAACGGAAUGAAACGCCGCCGGCAUAGAAAAAAAGAAACUCACCGGAUCGUUGCUCUGAAUGGAAUCAGAGUACGUCUUCAAUUCGCGAGAAUGAGGAAGAGGACGUCGAGAAUCUCCUCGUGUCGCGACGGCAAUUCGGAAAGAGGAAGAGGGUGUGGAGGUUGUGCGGAGCGUGAAAGAGAUUGAAGGUGAUGGCGAAGAUGGAAGGAGAAGCUCUGAGCGGUUCAGAAUCAGCGGUGUUGUGAAUCGAAGGGUGAUAAGAUGAAAAAUUGAAGAUCUCCCCCAAUGAAAAGAUGAUGAUACUUAUAGCAGUUGGAGAUUGACAGUGUUAAAACUCUGUUAAUCAACUUAUGUAUAAAACAGUUAGGAGUUAUGAGUCUAUUACGACUCCGCUAAUCCUAGGGACUUGUGAGUUAGUUAGAAGAAAAAGAAGUCAGUUAGAAUGUUAGUUAUAUGUGUUAGUUCUGUUAGAGAUUAUUGUUAGAAGUUUUUAUGCAGGAAAUUGGUUUGUGGCUUAUGCGUUGUUUAUGACUUUGAUGCGCCUUUAUCGUUAUGAUGCGCCUUUAUCGCUAUGAUGCGCGUUUGCUGCGGUAUUGCAUUUGUCGUUAUGCUGUUGUAGCUGCGUUUUUGGCUUUAUAUGGGUUUCAUGUUUAAGUUCUC